rnacentral:lncRNA from 1 species
UCCAGAGCCCCACCUGCUGUGAUUCUGGUUGAGAUUCUUCUUCACCCAUUGGACAAGGAAGCUACUUCAGGAAGGAAACCAGCACAUGUCACCAGAAGAGAUGACUGCAUCAGUUUCUGCCUCAUUGGCAUGACAUUUCUUUUUUGUAUGCCACUUCAGGGUGAGGAUUUUACUGAAUCAGGAGUCCCACUGCAAUCUGUGUUCUGUAGGUGGUGGGAUCUGCAUUCUCAAGACUACAGUAUUACUAUGAUACCGUAUUGUCAGAAGCAAAACAUAGAGACCUUUAAUAAAGAAAUUUGUCUUCUAAGGUAAACAGAAAU